UACGGAGGGAGCUAGCGUUGUUCGGAAUUACUGGGCGUAAAGCGCGCGUAGGCGGCUUUGUAAGUUAGAGGUGAAAGCCCGGGGCUCAACCCCGGAACAGCCUUUAAGACUGCAUCGCUAGAAUCCGGGAGAGGUGAGUGGAAUUCCGAGUGUAGAGGUGAAAUUCGUAGAUAUUCGGAAGAACACCAGUGGCGAAGGCGGCUCGCUGGACCGGCAUUGGACGCUGAGGUGCGAAAGCGUGGGGAGCAAACAGG
rnacentral:rRNA from 1 species